rnacentral:lncRNA from 1 species
AACACCCCAUUUUCCCCUUUGCACUUUUGAUUAUCUUGCUGUAUCUCUUUUUCUUUCUCCCAAAGUCCCCUUCCCACUUUUGUUUUGUGUGACCCACUGAAUUUAAUUAGUAUUAAUAGCUCAAGUAUGACUACGGUGUCAUAUUUAUUGAAUAUUUAUUGAAGAAUUGCACAAAUCAGUAGUGACACCACUUAAGAAAGCAACAAUGGCUCCCCCAGCAAUUAUUAAUUGCCAGUAGUCCCUCGGGGAGUGAUAGAGACCCAUGGACUUCUUUCAAAGAGGCCAUGAUUCUUGUCUCUUUUCUAAAAAUUCUAGGACUAUCAGGUAAGAAGAAUCCUUAGAGAUAGCCAAGCUUUUAUAUCCAGAUCUAGCCAUCCUCCCCACAAAUUGUGAUUUGGCUGAGAGCUUCCUGAACUGUGGUUGGUCAUCAGCAUCUUCUUACAUGUUCCAGGCUAGCAUGAUGAUCUGUUUUGCGCUGAUUCUGAACUCCCAUUGAAUAGCUCCUUGUCAACAGUAAAUAGCAAUUUUAGAAUUGGUUUCUGACAACAGCUGCAAUCAAACAUGGAGGGAGAGUCGCUGACACCUGUGCACACGUGACAAUCCUACCAAUCUUUCCUUCCUUCCACAAUUGUUCUCUGACUACAUCUUUUCAAGGCUCUCUU